AUCUGAUGUCAGAGAUUCAAAUCUUCAUUAAACAAUAAAAAAACUGAAAAAACAUGGUGCUGAAGAACCUCAUGACAGAAUCAAAGCUACAACUUAGGAAACCCCGGACGAUCGUCAGCAAAUAUCACACAGUACUGCUUAAAUAUGCCAUCAGAUAGGAAGAAGUAUAAUAUAAUCUCAAAGCAUACUGCAAAAUUCUACAAUGCUCAAAGCCCUUGCGCAAUAUCCCGACAUCAUUUGGCAGUUUAAUAUUAGGGAAAACUAAAAUCGAGAUCUAUAAUUUUUUGAAAACGCUCGACAAAAAUUAUGCCUAAAAUCAAAGAGGGCGAAGAUUAUAUAGAAGAAUCGAAUAAAUUUAUAAAAAAAAUCGAAAAAAAUGGAAGCUUGUAGAAAUCCAAAUAACGUUGAUACCUCGAAAUCCCUGAAAAUUCCUUUGCUGACGACGGCAAGAAAUUAUAGCAAAGGAAUUAUAGGGUUUGAAAAUGGAGCCGAUAAUAGAAUUUAUAGUCCAUUACAACUGUUAUUACGGUUUGAUUUAGGUAAGGUUUAGCUAAAGAUAAACUGUACUUGCACUAGUUAUAAGUGAAGUGAUGAUUUGAUAUAAGAAGCAUCCUACCUUCCAUUAACGCGAGUGUAUCUUAAUUAUGUUGCACCGCGAGGCUUCUUAACGGAGUCAUGUUUAAUAAUGUCGAUGUCAGUCUUAGUGCAGGAGUGCAGGACAAACGGUACAGCUCGUUGGGUAUUAUCAAGUUAACGGCAAAAUCCCUAAAUCUCGCCAACGAAAAUCGUUAGGUAUUUAUCUUUAAUUGAGCAGAUGUAUGGAUCUCUCUCGUUAGAAACGAGUAAUGUUCUGUAUCGAUUUCUUUCACUGUUUUCUUCAACUUGUUCCUACAGUGUUCUUCGUGAUAAUUUUUACAAUUUAGGUUGCGGUUAUGUUCGUUUAACGAUUUUCAAUUGGGUUUUUUUCAAACAAUAUCAUUAAAGUGUUCGGAGGAAAAAAAACAUUAAUAAUGAUCAGCAUCCACCAUUAUACUGAUUAAUAAUGAUCAGCAUCUUACUGAAGCAAAGAAAGACCAGAUGGAAUGUGAUCAUAUACAUGGUCAUAAUUUAUAUAAUGUGAAAUUGAAAAUAUAUAAUAACUUUUGAAUGUGAAGAUUCCUAAAAAAAGAUAAAACAAAAUUCAAUUGAUGGAAUGAAUAAUGAGCAUCGAGGAGAAUAUCUUCUUCUUCUUUCAGUAUUCAAAAAAAUAUAUAGAUAUGUCAAAAUAAAAAUCUGCUCGAACAUGAAAUCAAAGCUUGAUAUUGAAGUAGUCAGAGUCAAAGUGGUGAAGUCUUACGUAUCCAUCUUCACCUCCACUUGAAAAGCUGCGAACAACAACCAAUUCUCAAUCAAAAUCAUCUUUACUCGAGAUGAGAUAGAAAAUGAUAGAUUCCUAACUAAGUAUUUUGAUUUAAGAAAAAUAUAAAACUUUUUAGCCUUUUGGAUUUUGGAUCAAGAUUUUGGAAAAUUAUAUGUGGUUUGGAAUUUAAAGUUAACCAAAACAUACAAUCAAUCUGGUCAGUUCCGUCUAGUACUAUAGAGUAAGGGACUAAGAUCAGUUAUUUAUAUAGUUUUAGGAAAACACUUUUAUCAAAGUUUCCCGUUCUUGCAGACUUGCAUUGGUGGUUAGUGGAAAGUAAGAGAUUAUAUGCUUUGAUUAUAAAAUUUAAAAGUAUCGUGACUGAAAAUACCUUCUACCAUCAGGAUUGAAAGCCAAAGCAUUGAUAGGCCCAAAAUGGCCCUUCACACCGCCAAUUUCCUCUUCAAGAAUCUAUAUUUUUCAAAAAGAAGAUUAGAUAGUUAGAUACAUCUAAAAACAACAACAAACACAGUUCCAAAAGAGGUUAACCCAUUUAAUAUUAUGAAAUUAAAAACAAAGACAGCAACGUGCCUUGUGAUAAAAUUUGGCCUCAAAUUUCCCAGCACGAUGUCCAGUUGUUGUAACACUCAUAGCUUCCUGACCACCUCCUAUUACUACCUAAAAAAUAAAAACAGUAAAUACAUCAAUCAUUAGCCAAUGUAAAUCCAAUCCAAUUUUUUGAAAAAGAAAGACCAUUUCAUUAUACGCUACUGUAUUACAAUAUUAGCAUAUAAUUUCAAAUUGAAAUAAAUUAAACAAUCACGUUCAUGUGUUUGCUGGGGCAAAUAUUACAUUAUUACCCAGCAAGGAUAUUGGAUAUAUCUGUCUUCCUGUCAGUUAUACGAAUGUCUCUGCUUUGUAAUAUCAUAUACUCAUGUAGGGUUUAAGCAUCAGUUGCAUUUUCGUAAUUAAGUUUAAAAAAAAUACAUACAUUUUUAUAUAUUAUUUACCAAAUAUUCCUGAAAAUAGUUAAAAUUCGUAUAAAAUAGAAAUCGUGGAGAAGUCAUCGGAGAAGGUCCCCAGAGAAAAGCAAUACAUACAAAAGAGACAAGAAAUUCAUUGGGAAAACAACAUUAAAUAUGUAGAUCAAUACAUACAUGAUCGAGAAGUGGAGAAAUUGCACAAGCAUUAACAGGAGCUUCCACCUUGUAUGUCUUCAUGAGCGUCAAUGUUCUAGUGUCCCAGAGCUACAAAACAACAUACAAUAUAUUGACCAUUCGUUCAAUUUUAUUUAUGUACAAACUAUUGAAAUCUGCAAAUUUUACCUUUGAUGAUUUAUCAGAGGAACCUGUAAUGAAAUGAGAACCAUCUGCAGAUUUUGAGAGUGAUGUGAUUGUUUUUUGAUGACCAGUUUCUUUAUCAGACUCUUUAAGCAGCUUCCCUGUCUGCGUGCGUCAUCAAAUUUCACAUGAAUAAAUGAACAAAAAAAUGAAGAUUGAGAAACAUCUGAAAUAGAUAGAAAAGUAAAAUAUUGGAACAUGAGAAAAAAAUCAUGAACUAGUAUGCUACAUUAGUUCAUACAAAAAAACAUUACCAAAAAUGAAGAUAAAAGGGGAAUUGAAACCCAAGAUUUGAGAGAUGAACAUACUAAAAAAAUUAAAAGCAAUUUUUUUACUAAUUAGUAAGUACAAGGCACUCCCCCCCUUGGAGGUUAAUAUGGAAUGCUAUUGGGUGCUUGUCGUGGCAUAUAUGGACGGAAAGAAAUAAAAGGUAUAGGCAGCACAUUUGUAGGCCUCCUGAGGUAGUCCUUAAGGAGGUCAUUAAAGACAUCAGUCUCUCCUUUGAUUCAGUGUAUUACAAGAAGAGCUGUUGUCACCCUUUGAAGAUAUCUAUGAUGGAAGUAUGGGAGACCAACCUUCUGAAGCAGCGUAUCUAGUUACUGUAUAACUAGACUACAUAGCUAAUGGGAGAGAGUCAAUGAGCAUUUUGCUCAUUUCUUUUUACUUCUAUUUUUAUUUCUAUUCUCUAUUUUGUAAACUUGGCAUUAGCCUUAUUCUAAUGAAAUUUAAUUGCUUAAAAAAAAAAAAAAAAAAGAAAGUACAAGGGAAGAAGAUGCACGUAAUUUUCUGAUUAAAAUCCUUAUUUUCUGAUCAAAGCAUAUUUAAAAGAAUCAUAUCAACAAACCAACAGAUUCACUGACCUCAGUGUCCCACAUCCGGAUGAUUGCAUCUUCACCAGCACUUAUUAUGGUUUUGUUCAAUGGACCCCAGACAACCCUAUUAAUCCUACCUUGAGGUCCCUUCAAUGUAAUAACUGAGUCAGCAGACUCUGUAAAGAACAAAAUAAAGAUUUGUCUUGAUUGCUAUUUUAUAUUUACCGAGAUAAAAUUCAACAAAACCAAUGCAGUUAUUGCAGUAUGAUCCAGUAAUUAGGAUACGAAUCAGAAACAUGAUUUUCGAAAGAGACUCACGUUUACUAAGAUCUGACGCUAUACGUUUAACAUGAAUUGCGGACACUUGCUCAAUGAAUGGAUCCGAGGUGAUGACAGCAAGCUUAUCCCCAAGCGAGAACUCAACAGCCCUAACAGGGGCCUCGAAUUGAAAAGUGUAAAGGAGCGACCCAUUCUGCACAUUCCAAAUCUUUGCCGUUGUAUCAGCACACCCCGUUAUAAGCCGUGUGGAAUCACCUAUAUGAAAUCGGCAUCACAGAAAUGACGAAAAGUAGAGAAAGAAAGGAGAAAGUGAAGGGGAGAGGGAGGUCUCACGUGUAACGUCGCAGCACCAGACGGCACCAUUGUGGCCUCGGUAGGUACCGAGUCGCUCACCGUUGUCAGCAAACCAAACGGUGGGAGUGUUGUCCUUGGCACAAGAGAAGAGUAGAUCGCCCUCCCUGUUGUAUUUGAGAAACGUUAACGGCCUCUCAUGUCCCUUAAGCAAUAUCGGCCUCAUCGUUGUGUUUUUCUUCAAACCCUAUUUUCCUGUCAACACACUCGAGUAACGUCAAUUGAAUUUAGGGAUUUGAAUUUUGAAAAAAAAAGAAGAAGAAAAACUCAUGAAUUAUACAAAUUGCGAAAUUAAAUAAAUAGAAGAAAAAACAGUUAAUCAACAAUGAGAUGAAACUAGAAAAAAAAAAUCUGAAACUCUGAAAUAAUCUUUGCCGAAAGUAGAAGAAAAUUUAAGUCACUGAAGACAAGAUGAACGCUUAAAGAAUUAUGAGAAAAGCAUGAAAGCUUUUGGAUAUUGCGUUUCACUUGACCCUCCAUACUCAGAAUACAAUAGAUCGAUCAAAAACCAACCAAUUAAUCAUCUUACAAAGAUAAAAAAAAUAGAAUGAUUAUAUAUAACGUGAGAAAAGUUUAAACAGACUUGGGAUAUUUGGUCCUAAGAGGAUCUCAAGAUGUUUAGAGAAAAAUCAAGCAGAGUUUGGAUAUGAAACAAAAAUCAAGUUGGAAAAAACAUCAGACUUACACAAUAUUUCAAAAAGGAUUAAAAAAAGAGAGAAAUCUGCCAUAGUCUCUAUAGAGGAUGAUAGGCAGAAGUAAAUUUACGACACUACCAAAAGAGAAAAAUUCAGAAAUACCAAUAUUUUGCAUCUCUUUCUAAAUGCCAAAAUAACUACUGUUUGGAGAAUUAUGAGAAAAGCAAGCUAUUAAGGUCUAUUGGACCUCCAAUCAAUAAUGGACUCAGCCCAUCUGUGAUAAACUUAUCACAACCCUAGUAUAUAAGGUAUAAAUCUAUGUCGACGACUUAACUUUUGAAUCUUCUUCUCAAAACCCUAGAGCUCGUACUCUCAGAAAUCUUCCGCACUCUGUAACUCUGUUAUUCUUGAUCGAUCAAUACAAAUCCGAAAAUCGGCUCUGCCGGCCAACUCUCUGCGCACUCCUCACCUCCAUUACUUUUCUCCUCCUCGCUACGCACAUCGAGUCUUCCAGUCUCAAGCCUCCUCAUCUACCAGAUUCUUCAUGGUAUCAGAGCAUAUCCGAGCUUCCAGACUCCGAUCUACCCCGACUGAUCUCUAGGACACUCGCUCUCCGAUCAAGAUCUCAAAUCCGGUCUUCGACCAGGCUCCGCCGCUCUCACCUCAAAACCCUAAGGUUUAAGGUUUGUACCCUAGGAUUUGGGGAUAAUAAUAACUAGGUAGUAAUAAGUAUACAUCCCUGUCUAAGCUUGUAAAUGGUAUACCGGAAUCCACAUUCGAAUAUGACUAUCCGGAUUCGGAUACCUGAAUUGAAAUCCGGAUUUUAUUCGGUCGGAUUCGGAUGUCCGAAAAAUCCGCCGUUAAAAUCUGAAUUCGUUUAAAAAUUUCGGUUCGGAUAUCUGGAUAAAUAUAUAAUAAAUUAAUAUUAUUAUAUUUAUAUUUAUAUAUUAUAUAUUUAUAUCAUAAAUCAUUAAACAUUUAAUGUCUUAAACCUAAUUACUUUUAUAAUUAUAAAUCUUUAUAACUUAUUAACUUAUAAUUAUUAAAUCAUAACCUUAACUCUAACCCUAACCCUAAAGUCAUCCGGAUUCGGAUUAUCCGGAAAUCCGGACAAUUUAUUCGGAUUUCGAAUAUCCGGAUAAUUAUUCGGAUUCGGAUACCUGCAUAUCCGAAUCCGACCGAUAUAAAGGCUUAUCCCUGUCUGCAUGCAACCUAAACCCCCAACAAGAACCUGAUGUCAGAGAUUCAAAUCUUCAUUAAACAAUGGAAAAAACUGAAAAAACAUGACGCUGAAGAACCUCAUGACAGAAUCAAAGCUACAACUUAGGAACCCCGGACGAUCGUCAGCAAAUAUCACACAGUACUGCUUAAACAUGCCAUCAGAUAGGAAGAAGUAUAAUAUAAUCUCAAAGCAUACUGCAAAAUUCUGCAAUGCUCAAAGCCCUUGCGCAAUAUCCCGACAUCAUUUGGCAGUUUAAUAUUAGGGAAAACUAAAAUCGAGAUCUAUAAUUUUUUGAAAACGCUCGACAAAAAUUAUGCCUAAAAUCAAAGAGGGCGAAGAUUACAGAA
rnacentral:lncRNA from 1 species